rnacentral:tRNA from 1 species
UUGGGAGUAGCUCAGUGGUAGAGCGCUUGCCUAGCAAGCGCAAGGCCCUGGGUUCGGUCCCCAGCUCCGAAA